rnacentral:rRNA from 1 species
UGAUAAGGUCCGUGUUCGAAAGGGAAACAGCCCAGACCACCAGCUAAGGUCCCAAAAUAUAUGUUAAGUGGAAAAGGAUGUGGCGUUGCCCAGACAACUAGGAUGUUGGCUUAGAAGCAGCCAUCAUUUAAAGAGUGCGUAAUAGCUCACUAGUCGAGUGACACUGCGCCGAAAAUGUACCGGGGCUAAACAUAUUACCGAAGCUGUGGAUUGUCCUUUGGACAAUGGUAGGAGAGCGUUCUAAGGGCGUUGAAGCAUGAUCGUAAGGACAUGUGGAGCGCUUAGAAGUGAGAAUGCCGGUGUGAGUAGCGAAAGACGGGUGAGAAUCCCGUCCACCGAUUGACUAAGGUUUCCAGAGGAAGGCUCGUCCGCUCUGGGUUAGUCGGGUCCUAAGCUGAGGCCGACAGGCGUAGGCGAUGGAUAACAGGUUGAUAUUCCUGUACCACCUAUAAUCGUUUUAAUCGAUGGGGGGACGCA